AUGCAGUCAAGGUAGGAGGACUUCGGUCCUGUGGAACUGGCGCACGGGUGAGUACGCGUGGGAAUCUCCCCGGGGUGGGGAAUACCACUGGAAACGGUGGCUAUACCGCAUACGCCUUGAGAGGGAAAGCUCUAUGCGCCCUGGGAUGAGCCCGCGUCGGAUUAGUUUGUUGGUGGGGUAACGGCCUACCAAGGCUACGAUCCGUAGCUGGUCUGUGAGGAUGAUCAGCCACACUGGGACUGAGACACGGCCCAUACUCCUACGGGAGGCAGCAGUGAGGAAUAUUGGACAAUGGGGGAAACCCUGAUCCAGCCAUGCCGCGUGCGUGAAGAAGGCCUUAGGGUUGUAAAGCGCUUUCAACGGGGAAGAUGAUGACGGUACCCGUAGAAGAAGCCCCGGCUUCUCCGUGCCA
rnacentral:rRNA from 1 species